rnacentral:sRNA from 1 species
GCUGGGUACAGUAGUGCAUGCCUGUAAUCCCAGUGGCUCAGGAAGCUGAGGCAGGAGGAUCCUGAGUUCAAAUCUAGCCUCAGCAAUAGCAAGGUACUAAGCAACUCAGUGAGACCCUGUCUCUA